UCCGAGUUGACCCCGGCAGUCUCCCAUGAGUCCCCGCCAUAACGCGCUGGCAACAUGGAACGAGGGUUGCGCUCGUUGCGGGACUUAACCCAACAUCUCACGACACGAGCUGACGACAACCAUGCACCACCUGUGCAGGGCCCCGAAGGACACCGUAUCUCUACGGCUUUUCCCUGCAUGUCAAGCCCAGGUAAGGUUCUUCGCGUUGCAUCGAAUUAAAGAACAUGCUCCGCUGCUUGUGCGGGCCCCCGUCAAUUCUUUUGAGUUUUAGCCUUGCGGCCGUACUCCCCAGGCGGGGUGCUUAAUGCGUUAGCUUCGGCACGGAACGGGUUGAAGACCGCCCCACACCUAGCACCCAACGUUUACGGCUGGGACUAC
rnacentral:misc_RNA from 1 species